AUGAUAGUUGGAGAGUUCAACAAUGUUCUUCCGAAGCCAAUAGAACAAGCAGGGAGAAAAAAAUCAAUGAAGCACAAAGGACCCAACAACUCUGUCCAAUCAUUUGGUUUAAUUGACUCUGACAGACCAUUCCACCCAACAACAGCCCUUCCAGGUGCACAUGGAAUAUCCACCAAGAACAGGCGCCAUGAAACGCCAAUGUACAGGCUGUAUUCCACAUAUCAGGUGCACCACUAUGCCCACUGCUGAUGGUGACACGGAGUAACAGAUGGCACUGCCAGGGCUACAGGUGCCUCGGAAUGGAGCCUUUUGAAGACUAAGCCAAGGCAGUGGCCUGAAAACUACUCAGUGAUACAGAAACCGAAGUUAUUGGAAAUUGGGGGGAGGGAAUUUAAAAAAACAGUGAUUAUCUUUUAAUAAAUGACUGUCUUCCAGAAGUAUUGAAGCUUUUGCUCACAGACGCAACCUGGCCUAUUUGUGGCUCAACACAAAAGCUCAGAGUUGGUGAGCCCCAAGAGGUCACCCCCCAGCGCAGCCCAGACCCAGAGAGACAACCCCAGCUCUAAAUGUUGA
rnacentral:lncRNA from 1 species